CUGGAGAUCCCUGUACACCUGAGGCCUUCCAAAGUUUUGUGCCUCCAGGAGCUGCAGCACAGAGUGAUGAUGGGAUGGCAGAGCUUAUUGCUUCCUUGCAGCUCGGUUCUCACUGCUCAACACAGAGGAAGAAGCCUGAGGGGGGCCAACAAUGGGUGGGAAAACAAAAUAGUGGUGGUGUCAGAAGCAAGAGUGGAGCCUGCUGUGCUGAUUUCCCAGGUCCUAUCUGACAGUAAUUGGCCACCGCUGCCUGGCUGCUGUUUUCACUUUAACAAUACCGCACCAAAUAAAUGGCCCUGUGUUGCUGUCAGCGGUGUUCUGCACACUGAGUCCGGCGUGGGUCAUGUUAUCUCGUGGAAAUGAAUUCUGCAGAUUGCACGUAAAGAGGGACAGUGCUGCCCUACUAAAAAAUGGGAAUGAUUAGCACCGUGCUAAUGAAAACGUCCUGCUGGUGGGGAAACUCUCAGCCUUUUGGAGAGCCUGGGCACAUCUAGCUUCGUUCCUGAAAGGCAGAAAUGCUGGAGCAGAGCAGGGGAAUGAUUUGGGUUUUCCAGGGACUGCAGUUGCUCCGAGCUUGGGGACCAAAGCACCAACAACACACGCUGCUGCGCUUUCAAUUCUCCGGCAAUUGGCAACAGUUUAAUGUGUAUAUAUCACCAGCGCAGUUGUGUGAGCUCUGGUCCCACCGGCACCAUUUUUUUUAAAAAAAAUCCCUUUUCCAGUGUAAUUGCUGUUUGUUUUGUCAUUUCUCAGUGGGCAAUUACAGUUCAAAACCAAGAGAGCUUUUGAAGAUCGCAAGCGGAGGCUGUGGGCUUCAUUAAUGCGCUUUUAAUACACUAUGGAAACACACUUGAACUUACCUGCCCGAGGCCUCAGACAUAGGAAUCCGGCUUUGUAAAGCGCUGAUUAUUUGAUCUAUUUAAAAUACUUCCAGUAUUAGCCCGGUCUCCUGGAUACACUUCAACGUCAGCAGUUUGGGAUGCCGAAAUAUCUCCUCCAGGCCAUUCUGCCAUUCUCUAAUUCCUAGGAACUGGAGCCUCAGUGUUGGAAAUGCCACCGUUGCUGCUACCUGGCCUCUUUCAGACACCUCCUUGUAACUGAUUUGGGAAUAAAGCAACAGGAAGAAUAGAAAGUGGUUCUGAUUCAAGCUGAUUCCUCAGGCAAGAGGCUGGGGCCACACCACUGAGCCUGCCAGGCACUUUUCAAAUGUUAAAUUAGAUACCAAAACAAAAAGCAAAUAGGAGAGAGAGAGAAAAGUUCCCUGGAUAGCUCAGUUUUACUGUUUCUACUGUAACAGAGCAUCUGCCCUGGUAAAUUGAUGGGGUUGUGGUGCUCACCAUGUGGCCACCCAUCUAUCCUUAUAUUCAUCCAUCCGUCCAUUUGUCUAUCCAUCCAUCAAUCCAUCCACUCAGCUAUCUGUCCUUAUAUUCAUUCAUCUGUCUAUCUGUCCAUUCUUAUAUUCGUCCAUCCAUCCACGCACUCACACCCAAGGGGUGGAAAUACCUCCUAUCUCACAGCCCUUCUCUUUUGUGUUUGGAUUUUGGGCAGGGGGCAUCCCGUGGACAGUUGCAGCUGAGCAGCAAGACCACAAGGAUGGACAGCACUACUCUGUUUCUAUCACUUACUAGGACAAAUAUGUGCGCCUGAGGCAUGGUUAUGUGUUUCAUUGCUCAUCAAGAUGUUGCUCCUAAAGUUCCUCAUUAGUGAGUACGUGUUAUUUAUUCAGGGCUGGGAAGAAGUUGUGGGUAGCUGGCCUCUGCUGCAUCGCAUCCCAUCCCAUAUCCCAUCCCACGCCACCCCACUGUGCUGGCUGCUGGGGACCCAGUGUGGAUGCUCUGAGGCUCAGAGGAAGAUGAGAUGCUUGGAGCUGGAGCUGAGCAGGCAGUGGCAGCUCCACAGGGCAUUGGAUUGUCUUAUUUUUCAUUCCUUCAGGCUGAAAUCUUUAAAAAUGCAGGAGGUGCCCUAGGCAAGCUGAACUCUGCAUCAACAGUUUUAGCCCUGAAUUUUCCACUUGUUGUUGCUGUUUUCUUUAAUAAGAAAGAAACAGAAUUUUGGAGAGUAAAUCUCCUGCAGUGACUGUGCAGGUUUGCAAGCAGAGGAGCUGCAGGUGCUCAUUAACAGAAAGAUACCUCCAGGUCCACCCCAAUACCUCUAGGUGUGCUGUCUCCCCUUGGCCUCUCAUCCCUGCAUUUGGGGAUGUUGGGAGUUCCAGAUCCCUUUGCAAAAUUUAGGUGUUUUUCCUUAGAUGUUACAGCGGUAAUUUCUCAGAUCUGCUGUGUUUCCCUUGAACCCUUUCUCAUGGACAAGGCUGUUGCUCAGAAGCCCUUGAGCCCUGCGGGGCGGACACUGGCUUUGGGCAAUUUGUGCUCAGGGCUUGAGCAGGGUUUAAUUGCUCCCAGGUCUCGGAGCAGCUUUCCAGGAAAGGCAGCAGUGUCUGUGUUUGUGUUGAACAAGCUCCUUGUGCUCUUGUAAUGUCAUUUUUAAAAGAGGGAAUUGAGUGUAAUUUGGGAACCUUUUGUUCAAGCAACUCCAAAUGUGGCCUCCAGUAUCACCCACCACUCCUCUGAGACCUUGGAAAUGUCAGAUGCUCUAAAUACUCCAAUAAUAACUGAAAAAAACCUGCUCACAUUGCCACACUGACCUCCAGCCCCGGUGGAGUGCUUGGAGGACAAAAAUCCGUGCUAAUGCUGCAAGUGUGGCUCUUGACCUCUGUGCCAAGGCAAAGGGCUUUUCCCAAAGAAAAGAGAGUUUUCUUCCUGCUCUGCAAAAAGGGGCAAUGCCCUGGAGCUGCAAGGAGUGUGCCUGAGACCAACAGGGAUGAGGGGACGAUGUGCCCCAGACAGCCUGGGAAGGAGCUUCUGCAGCCCUAAACCCAAAACCCUUCCUCCAGUCAACCUGGUGAGGCUCGAGAAGCUGUGUCUAACAGGGAGGCAAGCAGCCCUGGAAUUACAACACAGUAAUUGCUUGGUACUUAAAGUCCAGGUCUAGAAGAUCUCCAAGUAAUAACUCAUUGGAAAGAUAUUGAGCUCUCAUCACAAAGAGGAAAUAUGGUCUCUAAACAGGCAGCUAAUGGCAUGCCAUUUAUCUGAUGGCAAAUCAGCCACAUUCAUUACUCUCUGCAGCACAGCCAGAAAGAGAAAUACGGAAUUAGCUGCACUGGAGGGGAGCAGGAUGGGGGAAGGACGUGGUUCCUUACGGCACUGCUCCAAGGGCAGCUCCUGCAGCCUGUACCGGGGCGACAGCAGCUUCCUUCCUGCCUGCAGGCACAGAAAUGCUCCCCAUUAUCAUUUUCACACUGUUCAGGGCUCUUCCUGAGAAAAUCCCUGAUGGUAUUCAAGGAAAAGCUAAGACCGGUGGAAUUUUUAUUGUUUUUGCUCACCUUUGCCAGAACAGCAGCUCUGGGAGCCAACAAAACCUCGAUAUGCUUUUAUUCCUUUCCAACCUCUGUAUUGAGGCUUUGAACACUAAGUGCUUCCUCUGCUUUAUAGCUUCCUUCCUCCCCACUGCUUUUGCUCUCUUCCAGGUAUUCCUGGCAGGGAAAUGCCUUCCUGGCUGUAUGCAAUGGGCAGCAAUGGGGACACGGGGAUGGGUAGACCGUGGGCACAUCCCCUAUUAGCUCGCAGUGAUGCUCAGAGCUCAGCACAGCAGAUUUGGAACAUCCUCCAUUCACACACAGCUGCUGCUGGAGCAUCCGAAGGACUGAGCCUGCUCCCCCUGCCCACAUACCCCCAGUGCAGCCUCCCAAAGGCUUCUGAGCUUUUUCAGGUUGCAGGCACCCAAAGGAAAAAGCUUUGCUAAUUGUAGACUGCAUUUCUUUGCAAAGUAGAGAGAGUGCUUUUACAGAAAGAGGCUCUUUAUCAAUUAAUAAUCCUUCAUUCUGGAGUUUUGGCGGAGGGUUUCCUUUGAGCAUUACAGAAAACCAUACAGAAACAAAGUGAAAUGGUCUUUCCUCUUUGCCAUCUACAGACUGCGUCCGAGUCAGUGCUUGGUGUUGGCCAUGGCUGGAAAUAUUUCUCAUUUUAAUGUGAUUUGGGAUCUGGCUGUGGUGCUGAGCUGCCACCACCAGGGCCGGGGCAGGUCCCCAUGGGAUGUCCCCAUGUCCGUGUUUUACCCCAAGCUCAGGGCUCUCCGGGGCAGCUGGGCCAUGCUCACCCCAGGAGCAGUCCUUUGCGCAGUGUGUACCAAGGCAGGAGCAUCACGGAUAAAUCACUCAUCGCUGGGAAGACGGUAAUAACAGAAGCCUCCAGGGAAAUCUGCAGUACUGAAUAGCGAGUUCUUUUUUUUUUUCCUUCCUUUUCACUUGAAGUCACUUAACGAACCCUCAUGCUGAAAUCUUCAGAAAGACUCACCUUAGGGGGUAUUGGAAAAUAUUGAUAAAUAGCACUUGGCACUUCUGAGGCUCUCAGCAAGUGGUACAGAUGCUGUUGCAGCAGUCGAACUGGAUGCCUCCACCCGUGGAAGUGCAGGAAAAGAGCGGAGGAGUUCAGCAUCCCCUGCGCAUCCUCUGCUCUUGUCUCUUGCCUCUCCCUACAGCCCGACCCCAGAGAAGGCACUGCCAUCCCCACAGAACCAUGUCUUUAAUCCCAAACUUUCCCAAGAAGCAAUCUAUUAGCUGUAAAGCAGUUUCCUCACUUUAUUUGCUGGUAAUUUACAGCCCACACUGUGAGACUGUGUAAUAUUUGCAAGCAAUUAAACAGAGGAUGACUCAACAACAGCCACCUCGGGUCAGAUUUUCAAGUGUUCAUCGUUCAUAAUUAAGAAGGAGCUUUCAACAGCAGUGGGGCCUGGGGCUGCUGUGCCACCUUCCCCUGCCCCAGCAGUGGGUGUAGUGCUGGAGGCAAAGGAGAUUGGCUGGAGGGAGGGGAAGGUCCUCCAGGAGCUGUGCACAGGGCUUGGAGCUGCUGCAGAGCUCUGCCCCUGCCCUCCCGCUAGGUAUGGGUUUGCUGUCAGCCCUAAUUAGCGUCUGAUCUUCCCAGGAGAGAGAAAGAAGAAGUGUUUGACUAGGAUUUACACCCCUCUGCAGACAGCCUCGCUGCUCUGUGGAUGUCUGACAUGGAACUGCCAACGCUGCUGGAAAAUUAGGUUCGAUAUGGCAUACAAGCGGGGAAACUAAGGCACAGCACAUCACCAACCAGAGCCCUGUAACCACUGCAGCACCCCAGAUUGUCACCUGAAUGUCACCCGGGCUGGGUCCCUCCAAAGCCUCCCAGCACAGCAGUUUUCCUGCUGAUGACAUCUGCUGUGUGCAGUGACGAAGAGCUGCCCCAUCCUGUGGCACACUGCACCUCCCUUCCCUGCCUGCUGCAUCCCCCUGGCUCCUUGAUCCAUCUGUAAAGGGAUGGGGAUAGGGCCAAAUGACUCUAAUUCCUUUUGCCUUACCACUUACUUUUUCCCACUGCCACUGGUAC